GACGAACGCUGGCGGCGUGCUUAACACAUGCAAGUCGAACGGUCUACCUCGACUGAAACCUUCGGGUUGACGACGAGAUCUAGAUAGUGGCGGACGGGUGAGUAACACGUGAAUAAUCUGUCCUCAAGUCUGGGAUAACCUGGCGAAAGUCGGGCUAAUCCGAGGUAAGCUGAGAGUGUGGCAUCACACAAUCAGAAAAGGUGGUUUUACCAUCGUUUGAGGAGGAGUUCGCGGUAGAUUAGCUAGCUGGUGAGGUAAUGGCUCACCAGGGCAAUAAUCUAUAGCUGGUCUGAGAGGACGAUCAGUCACACUGGAACUGAGACACGGUCCAGACUCCUACAGGAGGCAGCAGUGGGGAAUCUUCCACAAUGGGCGAAAGCCUGAUGGAGCAGCGCCGCGUGAGUGAAGAAGGUCUUAGGAUUGUAAAGCUCUGUCCUUAGGGAAGAACCGUGGGUAUAGUAAAUGCUACCCACCUGACGGUACCUUUGGAGGAAGCACUGGCUAACUACGUGCCAGCAGCCGCGGUAAUACGUAGAGUGCAAGCGUUGUCCGGAAUUAUUGGGCGUAAAGGGUACGCAGGCGGAUAAUCAAGUCAAGCGUGAAAGGUGUCGGCUUAACCGACAGACUGCGUUUGAAACUGGUUAUCUUGAGUGUAACAGAGGAGAGUGGAAUUCCUAGUGUAGUGGUGAAAUACGUAGAUAUUAGGAAGAACACCAGUGGCGAAGGCGACUCUCUGGGUUAACACUGACGCUGAGGUACGAAAGCUGGGGGAGCGAACGGGAUUAGAUACCCCGGUAGUCCCAGCCGUAAACGAUGGAUACUAGGUGUUGGAGGUUCGAAUCCUUCAGUGCCGGAGUUAACGCAUUAAGUAUCCCGCCUGGGGAUU
rnacentral:rRNA from 1 species